rnacentral:rRNA from 1 species
GCCUGAUCUAGCCAUGCCGCGUGAGUGACGAAGGCCUUAGGGUCGUAAAGCUCUUUCGCCAGAGAUGAUAAUGACAGUAUCUGGUAAAGAAACCCCGGCUAACUCCGUGCCAGCAGCCGCGGUAAUACGGAGGGGGUUAGCGUUGUUCGGAAUUACUGGGCGUAAAGCGCACGUAGGCGGAUUGGAAAGUAUGGGGUGAAAUCCCAGGGCUCAACCCUGGAACUGCCUUGUAAACUCCCAGUCUAGAGUUCGAGAGAGGUGAGUGGAAUUCCAAGUGUAGAGGUGAAAUUCRUAGAUAUUUGGAGGAACACCAGUGGCGAAGGCGGCUCACUGGCUCGAUACUGACGCUGAGGUGCGAAAGUGUGGGGAGCAAACAGGAUUAGAUACCCUGGUAGUCCACACCGUAAACGAUGAAUGCCAGACGUCAGGGGGCUUGCCCUUUGGUGUCACACCUAACGGAUUAAGCAUUCCGCCUGGGGAGUACGGUCGCAAGAUUAAAACUCAA